rnacentral:rRNA from 1 species
AACGACGGCCAGUGAAUUGUAAUACGACUCACUAUAGGGCGAAUUGAAUUUAGCGGCCGCGAAUUCGCCCUUGCCGCCGCCGCGCGCGGCGGGCGGGGCGGGGGCACGGGGGGACGGGGUGCAGCAGGCGCGAAAACUUUACAAUGCGGGAGACCGUGAUAAGGGGACACCGAGUGCCAGCAUCAUAUGCUGGCUGUCCGGAUGUGUAAAAUACAUCCGUUAGCAAGGGCCGGGCAAGACCGGUGCCAGCCGCCGCGGUAACACCGGCGGCCCGAGUGGUGAUCGUGAUUAUUGGGUCUAAAGGGUCCGUAGCCGGUUUGGUCAGUCCUCCGGGAAAUCUGAUAGCUCAACUAUUAGGCUUUCGGGGGAUACUGCCAGACUUGGAACCGGGAGAGGUGAGAGGUACUACAGGGGUAGGAGUGAAAUCUUGUAAUCCCUGUGGGACCACCUGUGGCGAAGGCGUCUUACCAGAACGGGUUCGACGGUGAGGGACGAAAGCUGGGGGCACGAACCGGAUUAGAUACCCGGGUAGUCCCAGCCGUAAACGAUGUGGACUUGGUGUUGGGGUGGCUUUGAGCUGCUCCAGUGCCGAAGGGAAGCUG